CCUACGGGGGGCAGCAGUGAGGAAUAUUGGUCAAUGGGCGAGAGCCUGAACCAGCCAAGUCGCGUGAAGGAUGACGGCCCUACGGGUUGUAAACUUCUUUUGUCAGGGAGCAAUUGAGUCCACGUGUGGGCUUAGCGAGAGUACCUGAAGAAAAAGCAUCGGCUAACUCCGUGCCAGCAGCCCCGGUAAUACGGAGGAUGCGAGCGUUAUCCGGAUUUAUGGGGUUUAAGGGGUGCGUAGGCGGAAUAUCAAGUCAGCGGGAAAGAUUCGGGGCUCAACCCCGUCGUGCCGUUGAAACUGAUGUUCUUGAGUGGACGAGAAGUAUGCGGAAUGCGUGGUGUAGCGGUGAAAUGCAUAGAUAUCACGCAGAACUACGAUUGCGAAGGCAGCAUACCGGCGCGCAACUGACGCUCAUGCACGAAAGCGUGGGUAUCGAACAGGAUUAGAUACCCUAGUAGUC
rnacentral:rRNA from 1 species